rnacentral:sRNA from 1 species
GGCUGAUGCGGCAGUCCCAGCAGGAGCGCAGGAUUGCCGUGCAGCUCAUGCAUGUUCGGCAUGAAAAGGAAGUUUUAUGGCAAAACAGAAUUUUCAGAGAAAAACAACAUGAGGAAAGACGACUUAAAGAUUUCCAGGAUGCUCUUGAUCGAGAAGCGGCUUUGGCAAAACAAGCCAAGAUUGACUUUGAAGAACAAUUCCUUAAAGAAAAGAGAUUUCAUGAUCAGAUUGCUGUGGAAAGAGCUCAAGCUCGUUAUGAAAAGCAUUAUUCAGUAUGUGCAGAAAUUUUGGAUCAAAUAGUUGAUUUGUCCACUAAAGUGGCAGACUAUCGAAUGUUGACAAAUAAUCUGAUUCCGUAUAAGUUGAUGCAUGAUUGGAAGGAACUAUUUUUUAAUGCAAAACCCAUAUAUGAACAAGCCUCUGUUAAGACACUACCUGCUGACCCCUCAAGAGAACAACUUACAGAACUGGAGAAAAGGGACUUGCUAGAUACCAAUGAUUAUGAAGAAUAUAAGAACAUGGUUGGAGAGUGGGCCUUACCAGAAGAAAUGGUUGACAAUUUACCACCCUCCAACAAUUGCAUACUGGGCCAUAUUCUUCACAGGCUAGUUGAAAAAUCUCUUCCUCCUCGAGCGGAAUCAACAACACCUGAAUUACCUUCAUUUGCUGUUAAAGGAUGCUUAUUGGGGAAAACAUUAAGUGGAAAAACUACCAUUUUAAGGUCUCUACAAAAAGACUUUCCUAUACAGAUACUUUCUAUUGACACUCUUGUCCAAGAAGCUAUCCAAGCAUUUCAUGACAAUGAAAAAGUCAGUGAGGUUCUACCAAUUCAGAAAAAAGAUGAAGAAGAUGCUCUACCAGUUCUGCAAGAGGAGAUUAAAGAAAGCCAGGAUCCACAACAUGUAUUUUCAGCUGGUCCAGUUUCAGAUGAAGUAUUACCAGAAACAGAAGGUGGUAAUGCUGAUAAAACACCAAAAGCUGAAGAAGUCAAAUCAAGUGAUAGUUUCUUAAAACUCACUACACGUGCUCAGCUUGGUGCAAAAUCAGAACAGUUGCUGAAGAAAGGAAAGAGCAUUCCUGAUGUGCUGCUUGUUGACAUCAUGGUAAAUGCUAUUAAGUAUGUAUUGCAUUUUUCUUCCUCUCAUCUAUUUAAUAUAUUCUUUAUCACACAAAGAUGUAUAAGGAAUAAUACGGAUUUUUUGUUUUAAUAUCUCAUACAUUUCACUCAUCUGUAUAUGAAAAUAUACAGCAAUGAAAAGGUAGAUUUAUUUUGUGACUUACGUGCCUAUAUUCCGCUUCUUCUCCCAUACCAAGCUUGACUUCUUUUACCCAGAUGUGAAUAAAGUCAGGUUCUAUUACCUGUGGGGAAUUCAAUGAGAAAUUGAGUAAUUGGAAAAGCCAAGGGAAAGACUCAAUUGUGUGGUCACAGACCACGGGGAAAAAAGAAGCCAUAGAGACUUGGCUGACAAAUGUAAUAAAGAGAGAAGGUCAGCAGGCUGGAGAAAACUGUCAAAAAGCCCCCUGAGAAAGAGCUGCAAACAACUUAGAGUAGGUAAGGAAGCAGAACUGAGUAGUGAGAUGUGGGAUGUGGAAACAGUGAGACCAAGAGAGAUGAGGAAGGAGGGCUGAGAGUUCUACUCUGCAUCUGGAAUGGACUUCCCUUAGUGUUUUCUUAAAAGAUGACAUUAAAAAUUUAAGUUGCUUCUCAAUGAUGAUAUGUCUAGAAAUCAGAUCACAGGGCUGCCCAGAGCUAGGAGGGGCCUCACUCUAAUAGUUGUAACAUUUCCCAGAAGUGGCGAUAAAGCAUGUUUCAGCCAUGGGAUUCUUUGCUUCUGCUCCAAAUAAAAAUGUAUAUGAAAAGCAUCAGAUAGAUAUAAAGCAGUUCUUCACUUUAGUUUCAGUGGAACUGAAACCUCCACACCCCAUCGUCAGAACUCCAUUACCCUCCUUCCACCAGUACCAUCCUUAUUGCCCCUGAGGCUCCUCCAGAUGACAGUCAUCAGUGUGAAAUCUUUGAUCCAGUCUAAAUCUAUCGUUUUUCUGUAAGGAAAGGGAGGCACAUGACAGUUCAGUGAGGUGCUCCAGUUACAUGUCUGGCUAGUGGUAUAGCCCCAGCCAAAGUCCAUGUCUCCUGACUCCCCAUCAUCUCACGUCCUCAAACUACAGCUGAACAAGGGUAGCCCUCACCUCCCCGUUCCUCUGAAGUGGCUUCUGUGACUGUGGGUGGACGAAGGAACUCAAGGAAAUUCUCUUUCCCAUCUUAGGCCAAUGAAUCAACAAAUUUAUUCUAUGCAGAAUGCUUCACCAAGCUCUGGACAAGUUAUAAAACCAAAAUGAAGUCUUUUCCUGCUCUUAAUAACCUAAUGAGAGAAAUAUAGACAGUGACCUGAAGACAGCUUGAUACUGUGGAAAGAUCAUUGGAUUUGGGUGAUUUUUAGUUUCGUGACUUUGAACAAUAAUGAAAUUUCCUUUAACUUCUGUUUUCCCCCUCCUUCCUUGUUACACUAUUGGAAGGAUCACAUGCAGGCCCCAAAGUAGACUCAGAAACCUUUGGAAAGGGGAUUCCAUUGUUUAAUAUAAGUUCUGACAGAAAUAAAUGAAAUUAUACCUUUUAAUCCAAAGGCCAAAAACACAAUUUUGCAUAAUUUAAGGGCUUAGAAGAACAAAGUCAAAGUUUACGCCUUUCUCACCUUGUUUUCCAGCUGCAAAUUAAAACAAUAAUUAUUCAACACCCACUCUCUAAAGAGGACACUGUGCUGAGUGCAAAAACCCAAUUGCAUUUCAGCGUCCUAUAAUCUAACUGAGAUUUUAAAAGACUCACUUGAAUUUGUGUUAAGCAGAGAAAUAUAACCACUUGCAUGGCAAAGUGGAAGUCAGAGAAAUUCAGAUCAGGAUACUAUGACUCUACACAGGCUUGGGUGGGAUAGGAAGAGCUCUCCAGGUUGGCAGUACAAGUAUCCAGUAUGUGCUAAGCUCUGUGCUGCGUUUUUUAAAUGCAUCAUUUCAGGUCAUCCUCACAACUACCUUAUGAGGUAUGUUAUGUUACCCCAUUGUAUAAAUUAGGAAACUGAGGUGCAAAGGAGGAACAGUCUGUGAACACAAUAUAGAAAAUGCAGUUCAUACUCAUAUAACAUUGAGGAGAUGAGUUUGUUUGAAGUAAAUGGUUCAAAAUUGUAAGAGAUAACAAGUUAUAGAGAAAUAAAGUGUUGAUAUGGUUUGACUGUGUCCCCAUCCAAAUCUCAUCUUGAAUUGUAGCUCCCAUAAUUCCCACAUGUUGUGGGAGGGACCUGGUGGGAGAUGAUUGAAUCUUGGGGGCGGUGCUUUCCUGUGCUGUUUUCGUGAUAGUGAAUGGUCUCACAAGAUGUGAUGGUUUUAAAAACGGGAGUUUCUCUGCACAAGCUCUCGAUUUGCCUGCUGCCAUCCAUGUGACUUUCUCCUCCUUGCCUUCUGCCGUGAUUGUGAGGCUUCCCCCACCAUGUGAAACUGUAACACCAAUUAAAUCUCUUUCUUUGUAAAUUGCCCAGUCUUGAGUAUGUCUUUAUCAGCAGCAUGGAAAGGGACUAAUACAGGUGUGGCCAGUUAAUUUUAAUGUGUUAAAGCCUCUGGAAUAGAUUUGGAGGGCAGCACAGUAUCCACAGAAGUAUUUUAAGCAAGGGAGUGAUUGUGGCACAUCAGUAAACCUAAUCUUUUAGCUAUGAAGUAAUGAAAUUCAUGCAGUAGGAAGUUAUUGUGGAAUUGAAAGAAAAAGGAAAGAUUCAUCAUAGUAUUUCCAAAGUACUUGUGUCUAACAAAAUAUUCAUGAGUUGUCCUGUUUCAAUUUAGCAAGAUACCUGUGAAUCAAGACUGUAUCCUAGAUGGUUUUCCAAUGACUUUAAACCAAGCACAGCUUCUGGAAGAAGCUCUUACAGGCUGCAAUAGAAACCUCACAGAAGUGGAAAGAAAAAAAGCACAAAAAUCCACAUUGGCUAUUGAUCCUGCGACUUCCAAAGAAAUACCUCUUCCCUCUCCUGCAUUUGAUUUUGUCAUAUUAUUAGAUGUUUCAGAUACUUCCUCAAUGAGUCGCAUGAAUGAUAUUAUAGCUGAAGAAUUGUCCUAUAAAACUGCUCACGAAGAUAUCAGUCAACGUGUAGCUGCUGAAAACCAAGAUAAGGAUGGAGACCAAAAUUUAAGAGACCAGAUACAACAUAGAAUUAUAGGCUUCUUGGACAACUGGCCUUUAUUGGAGCAAUGGUUUUCAGAGCCAGAAAAUAUUUUGAUAAAAAUCAAUGCUGAAAUAGAUAAGGAAUCUUUAUGUGAAAAAGUAAAAGAAAUUCUUACGACUGAAAUAGCAAAAAAAAAGAAUAAAGUUGAGAAGAAAUUAGAAGAAAAGGAAGCUGAGAAAAAAGCAGCAGCUUCCCUGGCUGAGCUUCCACUUCCUACACCUCCUCCUGCUCCUCCUCCUGAACCAGAAAAAGAGAAGGAAAUUCAUCAAAGCCAUGUGCCUUCAAAAACUCCUACUGCAAAAGGAAAACCUCAAUCAGGUGAUUGACAGAAUGAUUUAUAAUCCUGUUUUCAGUUUCUUAUUUUUACUCAGUAAAGAAUUAUAAAUUAUAGUCUAUCUACAUUCAGACUUUGGGCAACUUCAAUCAUAUGAAACAAGGCUUUACACUCAGAUGGAAGUGGAAAAGCCCUCGGAGUAGCUGAAAGCGUAGUUGUUACAAAGCCCAACUUCUUUGCCAUGUAGGAGGAGACAUGGAGUCAUCACACCUAGGUCUACUGAUUAGAGUAAGACCACAGACGAGAAGAGGGAAAGGCACAGAGUAACAGGUAACUUCAGGCAGAUCAAGAGGAUACACGUCUGUGUGCUGAACUAUAGAGUUACAUUUAUGUAAUGAGUAAGAACAUCUUAAUAAAAUAAGAAUGAGUAUAGCUGGUUUUCCACCAGAAUAAGGGAACAAAUUAACAGCAACCAUUAGAACUAGAAUUUAUAUGUAAUUGUAAAUCUUCAGGACUAUGUGAUUAUAAAAGUAUAGAAACAAGCUCCUGCCAUCUCAGUAAACAUAUAUUUAUGGACACAGAGAUAAAGAGCCUAGAUAGAGAACACUUUUAGUUUAAGUUUGUUCUAGAUCCUUAACCGCUAUGGACCAUAAGUCUAGCAUUAAGUGGCAGACAAUGAAUAUAAUGACAAAAGUGAAGUGCUUAAUUGUUGUAAUGCAUGAUAUUGGUAGAGUGUCAGUAUCCAUUUGUGUGUGUAUAUAAAACAAAUGAGGCUCUGGUUUCUAGUUUCAGCUUUAUAAAUGGCUGACUGUGCAGUUACACCAUGUCUACAUAAGUAUCUUUGAUACUGUGUCAUGACCACAUUUCUAAACUCUAUAGUCUUUCUGCCUCACGGAGAUUUGAGAUAGGUCUUAAUUUUUAAAAUUAAACUUAUUCAUAUUAAACAAAGUCAUAUGAAGACUUUAGUAAGAUAUAUUAUGAUAUAUUAAAGACCAUUCUGCUCCAGGAAAUUAGAAAUUAACUACAGGCAAAAUACACACAUCCUAAAAAAUGUUUUUAUCAUGUCAACAAUAAAACACAAAGACAUGAAUUAAACAUACACCCUUUUCCCGCUGUCUCAUUAGGAAAUUAAAAAACAAUUCAGAGGUCUGGAGGAAAAUGGAAAUAUUUAAAAUGCUUUUUAGAACUGGGGAAGACAGGCCAAGCGUGGUGGCUCAUCCCUGUAAUCCCAGCACUUUGGGAGGCUGAGGUGGGCAGAUCACCAGAAAUCAGGAGUUCGAGACCCCCCUGGCCAACAUGGCAAAACCCCAUCUCUACCAAAAAUACAAAAAUUAGCUGGGCGUGGUGGCAGGCACCUGUAAUCCCAGCUGCUUGGGAGGCUGAGGCAGGAGAAUUGCUUGAACCUGAGAGGCGGAGGUUGCAGUGAGCUGAGAUUGCCCCACUGCACUCUAGCCUGGGGGAUAGAGUGAAACUCUACCUCCAAAAAAAAGAAAAGAAAAAUAACUGAGGAAGACAGUUUUCACAGUGGGUCAGGUGAGCCUAGAAUUAUCGAAUAUCGUCCUUUAACCUAUAGCUAUGACUCUAGGUUAAAGCUCCUCCUCAGUUUGCUCCAGUCAAGAGUAUCUAUGUAUUUGAGCCAUUUCCUGAAACCAGACUCUAGUGUUUCUGAUCAGGACCAGCUCAGUCUUUAAGUUUCUGAAGUUUGUUUGCUAUUUUAUAAUUAUAUUCUUGAAUACUGUGCAUUGAAGAAAUAAUAAAUCUAUUGUUGCUUUAAA